rnacentral:rRNA from 1 species
GACGAACGCUGGCGGCGUGCUUAACACAUGCAAGUCGAACGGAAAGGCCCUGCUUUUGUGGGGUGCUCGAGUGGCGAACGGGUGAGUAACACGUGAGUAACCUGCCCUUGACUUUGGGAUAACUUCAGGAAACUGGGGCUAAUACCGGAUAGGAGCUCCUGCUGCAUGGUGGGGGUUGGAAAGUUUCGGCGGUUGGGGAUGGACUCGCGGCUUAUCAGCUUGUUGGUGGGGUAGUGGCUUACCAAGGCUUUGACGGGUAGCCGGCCUGAGAGGGUGACCGGCCACAUUGGGACUGAGAUACGGCCCAGACUCCUACGGGAGGCAGAAGUGGGGAGUAUUGCACAAUGGGCGGAAGCCUGAUGCAGCAACGCCGCGUGCGGGAUGACGGCCUUCGGGUUGUAAACCGCUUUCGCCGGUGACGAAGCGUGAGUGACGGUAAUGGGUAAAGAAGCACCGGCUAACUACGUG